ensembl:lncRNA
CUACCGAGCUCCCAGUGGGAGGGACAACCAGCUGCCUGCUGUCUAAGCCAUUUGAGCUCCUUCUGGGAGGAGCAGUGGCCAGCACUGGGACUCACAACUGCCUAACACGCUAAGCUCCAUGGGUGGGGGAAGGACAGCAUCCAUCUCCAUAGCUCCAGGCCAUGCUUUUCCCCUGCUGGAGCCAGGGAGGCUGGACAGCUUGGUCCCAAGACGUAUCCCCCAUAGCCCAACACACCAGCUGUGGCAGACUGUGGCCAGAGUGCCUAUUCAGGCCUGACCUUGACUCAUCCUUCCUCAUUGGGCAGGGUGUCUCUGCAGGAACUCCCAUAACUCCAUCCGGAGACUCAGGGACAGAACCCAGAUCUCCCUGGGUCUGAGCCCCUCACGGAAGGGGUGGCUGCAGUCUCUGCAGACUAAGAGACUUAGCCUUUUCUCCUGCAGCCCAGCAGAAUUAAUCUUUCCUCAGACUUAGUUCUGAGGAGUCUGGUCAGACCAGAUGAGUGGGUUUCCCCCCAGUGAAGCACACCCAUUCCACCAAGGGACAAAGUGCUUCGUUAAAUGGGUCCUGUUCCCUAUGCCACCCAAUUGGAUGAGACCCUCCAACAGGGGUUGUGAGACACCCUGUACAGGAGCAAUCGUACUGGCAUCAGGUUGGUGCCCCUUGAGGUCAGAGAUCCCAGAGGAAGAAGCAGGCACCCAUCUGGGCUGUUCUCCAGCCUCCUUGAGUGACAUCGCCAGGUGCAGGAGUGAACCAGAUGAAUAGGGCCUGAAGUGAACCCCCAGCAAACCACAGAAACCCUACAGAAGAGGGACCUCACCAUUGAAAGAAAAACAGAAAGCAAUAACAACAACAUCAACAACAACAAAAAAAGGCACCACAAAAACCCUAUCCAAGGGUCAGCAGCCUCAAAGAUCGAACCUAGACAAAUUCACAGAGAUGAGAAAGCAUCAACAAAAAAAUGCCAAAAAUCCAAAAGGCCAGAGUCCCUUUUCUUCUCCAAAUGAUUGUAACGUUUCUCCAGCAAGGGCACAGAACUGGACGGGGGAUGAGAUGAAAGAAUUGACAGAAGUAGGCUGCAGAAGAUGGGUAAGAAAAAAAGUGUGCUGAGCUAAAGGAGCAUGUUCUAACCCAAUGCAAAGAAGCUAAGAACCUUGAUGAAAGGUUAGAGGAGCUGCUAACUAGAAUAACCAGUUUAGAAAGAAACAUAAAUGAUCUGAUGGAGCUAAGGACACAGCAUGAGAACUCUGUAAAGCAUACACAAGUAUCAAUAGCUGAAUCGACCAAGCAGAAGAAAGGAUAUCAGGGUUUGAAGACCACCUUGCUGAAAUAAGGCAUGCAGACAAAACUAGAGAAAAAAGAAUUAAAAGGAAUGAACAAAGCCUCAAAGAAAUAAGAGACUCCAUAAAAAGACCAAACCUAUGAUAGAUUGGAGUACCUGAAGAAGGUGAGGAGAAUGGAAACAAGCUGGAAAACACAGUUCAGGGUAUUAUCCAGGAGACCUUCCCCAACCUAGCAAGACAGGCCAACAUGCGAAUUCAGGAAAUACAGAGAACACCACUAAGAUAUUCUAUGAGAAGAUAAACCUCAAGACACAUAAUUAUCAGAUCCUCCAAGGUUGAAAUGAAGGAAAAAAUGUUAAAGGUGACCAAAGAGAAAAGCCAGGUCACCUACAAAGGGAAGCCCAUCAGACUAACAGCAGACCUCUCAGCAGAAACUUUACAAGCCAGAAGAUACUUGGGGCCAACAGUCAACAUUCCUAAAGAAAAGAACUGGGCCGGCAAGGCGGCUCAUGUCUGUAAUUCCAGCACUUUGGGAGACCAAGGAGGGCAGAUCACCUGAGGUUUGGAGUUUGAGACCAGCCUGGCCAACAUGGUGAAACCCCAUCUCUACUAAAAAUACAAUUAGCUAGAUGUGGUGGCAGGUACCUAUAAUCCCAGCUCCUCAAGAGGCUGAGACAGAAAAAUCACUUGAACCCAGGAGGCGGAGGUUGCAGUAAGCCAAGAUCACGCCAUUGCACUCCACCCUGGGUGAUAAGAGUGAAACUUCAUCUCAAAAAAAAAAAA